UCGGGUUGUAAAGCACUUUUGUCCGGAAAGAAAUCCUUUUCGCUAAUACCGAAGGGGGAUGACGGUACCGGAAGAAUAAGCACCGGCUAACUACGUGCCAGCAGCGCGGUAAUCGUAGGGUGCGAGCGUUAAUCGGAAUUACUGGGCGUAAAGCGUGCGCAGGCGGUUUUGUAAGACCGAUGUGAAAUCCCCGGGCUUAACCUGGGAACUGCAUUGGUGACUGCAAGGCUUGAGUAUGGCAGAGGGGGGUAGAAUUCCACGUGUAGCAGUGAAAUGCGUAGAGAUGUGGAGGAAUACCGAUGGCGAAGGCAGCCCCCUGGGUCAAUACUGACGCUCAUGCACGAAAGCGUGGGGAGCAAACAGGAUUAGAUACCCUGGUAGUCCACGCCCUAAACGAUGUCAACUGGUUGUCGGGUCUUCAUUGACUUGGUAACGUAGCUAACGCGUGAAGUUGACCGCCUGGGGAGUACGGUCGCAAGAUUAAAACUCAAAGGAAUUGACGGGGACCCGCACAAGCGGUGGAUGAAUGUGGAUUAAUUCGAUGCAACGCGAAAAACCUUACCUACCCUUGACAUGUACGGAACCCUGCUG
rnacentral:rRNA from 1 species